UCCUGGCUCAGGAUGAACGCUAGCUACAGGCUAACACAUGCAAGUCGAGGGGCAGCAGGACGAUAGCUUGCUAUUGUUGCUGGCGACCGGCGCACGGGUGAGUAACGCGUAUCCAACCUUCCCCUUAGUAGGGCAUAGCCCGGUGAAAAUCGGAUUAAUACCCUAUGUUAUUCGUCGAGGACAUCUGAAGUGAAUCAAAGAUUUAUCGCUAAGGGAUGGGGAUGCGUCUGAUUAGGUAGUCGGCGGGGUAACGGCCCACCGAGCCCUCGAUCAGUAGGGGUUCUGAGAGGAAGGUCCCCCACACUGGUACUGAGACACGGACCAGACUCCUACGGGAGGCAGCAGUGAGGAAUAUUGGUCAAUGGGCGAGAGCCUGAACCAGCCAAAAGUAGCGUGCAGGAUGACGGCCCUAUGGGUUGUAAACUGCUUUUAUACGGGGAUAAAGUGAGGGACGUGUCCCUUAUUGUAGGUACCGUAUGAAUAAGGACCGGCUAAUUCCGUGCCAGCCGCCGC
rnacentral:rRNA from 1 species